AGGGACUUAGGAUAGCAUGCUAGUCCAAGGGCCUUCAAAGCCUUCAGCGGGGGUGAAAAUCCCCCAGGCCCUG
rnacentral:tRNA from 3 species